AAGCACGUUACACGAAUAUCUACUUCUCUCGGUUUCAUCAUCAUGGCAGGGUACGACAGGAUAGCAGUAAGAGGUGAGCUCACAUAUAAAAUGUACACCCAGGCGACGAUGAAGAAGUUUAUCAUUCUUCGACAAUUCGGGUAUGUUUUCCUUGUCCUCCACUUGGUUGCUUAUAUUGUCGACCUGGUGUAUUAUUUGAAGGGAUUCAAUGGUUUUUUCUUUAUAAUGUGGAUGGUGAUCGGUUUUGCUUAUUUAAUAUUCAUUAUAACAGCAAUCGUUCUUCUCACAAAUACUCCUUCGCCAAAGCCACGUUUUGACUUACCUAAAGUUUUUAACCUACGACCUGACCAUGCCCAAUAAUUCAUCAAACAAUCCUCCAUAAUAUUCUUCGCCCUCGGCUGGACCGAUUAGGACAAGUGAGAGGAUACAAGCUAAUCGAUUGGUUUCGGUUGGUAAACGUUUCAUUCAAUGGAAACGUCGCGCCAUCAUUUCUUUAAUAGUUUUGUUGAAUGUACAUCUGAUUUUUGUAGACAAUAUCUUUUUUUCCGCUUUACUAAGCAAAAACAAAGUACUAAAGUAAUUGAUUAACAAGUUUUGGAUUUCGUUAACGCAUGUUUUCUCCGUAAAUAACUCGAGUAAGAAGAUAAUUCGGGCUUACGUCGUACGUGUGAUAAAUGACUGUAUACAAUCUGAAAAUUAAUAUUAUAAAACAUCCAAAACAAAAUAGGAUUAAAAGAAAACGAGCACUCUAGUACAUGCUAUUCAAACGAAUACUACGAAUCUCUUGUUCUUGACGUUUGCGAAUAGCCUCUUGAACGUGGAGUGGACAACUCGCAUAAACGGAGGGAGGGAUAUUUGCAAUAGACACCUGUGGAGCCACAUCCGAGUUAAGAGCAACGAGAAUAUCCAAUUUAGGU